rnacentral:rRNA from 1 species
AAUAGAUACCCCGGUAGUCCACGCCGUAAACGGUGGGCACUAGGUGUGGGCAACAUUCCACGUUGUCCGUGCCGCAGCUAACGCAUUAAGUGCCCCGCCUGGGGAGUACGGCCGCAAGGCUAAAACUCAAAGGAAUUGACGGGGGGCCCGCACAAGCGGCGGAGCAUGUGGCUUAAUUCGACGCAACGCGAAGAACCUUACCAAGGCUUGACAUACACCGGAAACGUCUGGAGACAGGCGCCCCCUUGUGGUCGGUGUACAGGUGGUGCAUGGCUGUCGUCAGCUCGUGUCGUGAGAUGUUGGGUUAAGUCCCGCAACGAGCGCAACCCUUGUCCCGUGUUGCCAGCAGGCCCUUGUGGUGCUGGGGACUCACGGGAGACCGCCGGGGUCAACUCGGAGGAAGGUGGGGACGACGUCAAGUCAUCAUGCCCCUUAUGUCUUGGGCUGCACACGUGCUACAAUGGCCGGUACAAUGAGCUGCGAUACCGCGAGGUGGAGCGAAUCUCAAAAAGCCGGUCUCAGUUCGGAUUGGGGUCUGCAACG